UACGGAGGGUGCGAGCGUUAAUCGGAAUUACUGGGCGUAAAGGGUGCGUAGGUGGUGAGAUAAGUUAUCUGUGAAAGCCCUGGGCUCAACCUGGGAAGGUCAGAUAAGACUGUUUUACUUGAGUAUGGGAGAGGGUAGUGGAAUUUCCGGUGUAGCGGUGAAAUGCGUAGAGAUCGGAAGGAACACCAGUGGCGAAGGCGGCUACCUGGCCUAAUACUGACACUGAGGCACAAAGCGUGGGGAGCAAACAGG
rnacentral:rRNA from 1 species